GUGUCAGCCGCCGCGGUAAGACAGAGGCCACGAACGUUGUUCGGAAUCACUGGGCAUAAAGCGCACGUAGGCGGCUGGGUCCGUCCGAUGUGAAAGCCCCCGGCUCAACCGGGGAAUUGCAUCGGAUACAGCCCGGCUUGAGGACGGUUGGGGUGAGUGGAACUCCUGGUGGAGCGGUGAAAUGCGUAGAUAUCAGGAGGAACACCGGUGGCGAAAGCGGCUCACUGGACCGUAACUGACGCUGAGGUGCGAAAGCUAGGGGAGCAAACGGGAUUAGAUACCCUGGUAGUCC
rnacentral:rRNA from 1 species